rnacentral:lncRNA from 1 species
GGAUACCAAGAGGAGGAACAUGUGUUAAAAGUGGCUCAUGAUGAUCGAUCAAAUAGAGGUAGAGGUCGAGGCAUGUCCAGAGGAGGACGUGGCAGAGGUAGAGGGAGACAACCCAUAAACAAAGCAGUCAUUGAAUGUUUCAAAUGCCACAAAUUAGGACAUUUCCAAUAUGAAUGUCCUGACUAGGAAAAGAAAGCUAAC